AUUGAACGCUGGCGGCAUGCCUUACACAUGCAAGUCGAACGGCAGCACGGGAGCAAUCCUGGUGGCGAGUGGCGAACGGGUGAGUAAAGCAUCGGAACGUGCCCAGUCGUGGGGGAUAACGUAGCGAUAGCUACGCUAAUACCGCAUACGAUCUGUGGAUGAAAGCGGGGGACCGUAAGGCCUCGCGCGAUUGGAGCGGCCGAUGUUAGAUUAGGUAGUUGGUGAGGUAAAGGCUCACCAAGCCGACGAUCUGUAGCUGGUCUGAGAGGACGACCAGCCACACUGGGACUGAGACACGGCCCAGACUCCUACGGGAGGAAGCAGUGGGGAAUUUUGGACAAUGGACGCAAGCCUGAUCCAGCAAUGCCGCGUGCAGGAUGAAGGCCUUCGGGUUGUAAACUGCUUUUGUACGGAGCGAAACGGCUUCCACUAAUACUGGGGGCUAAUGACGGUACCGUAAGAAUAAGCACCGGCUAACUACGUGCCAGCCGCCGCAGUAAAAC
rnacentral:rRNA from 1 species